rnacentral:rRNA from 1 species
CUACGAGUGGCUCCAGUGGGGAAUAUUGCACAAUGGAGGGAACUCUGAUGCAGCAACGCCGCGUGGAGGAUGACACUUUUCGGAGCGUAAACUCCUUUUAUAUAGGAAGAAGAUGACGGUACUAUAUGAAUAAGCGCCGGCUAACUCCGUGCCAGCAGCCGCGGUAAUACGGAGGGCGCAAGCGUUACUCGGAAUCACUGGGCGUAAAGAGCGUGUAGGCGGAUUAAAAAGUCAGAAGUGAAAUCCUAUAGCUUAACUAUAGAACUGCUUCUGAAACUCUUAAUCUAGAAUAUGGGAGAGGUAGAUGGAAUUUCUGGUGUAGGGGUAAAAUCCGUAGAGAUCAGAAGGAAUACCGAUUGCGAAGGCGAUCUACUAGAACAUUAUUGACGCUGAGACGCGAAAGCGUGGGGAGCAAACAGGAUUAGAUACCCCUGUAGUC